rnacentral:rRNA from 1 species
UAAGGAAUAUUGGACAAUGGAGGCAACUCUGAUCCAGCCAUGCCGCGUGAAGGAAUAAGGCCCUAUGGGUUGUAAACUUCUUUUAGACGGGACAAAACCCCUUUACGUGUAAAGGGUUGAUGGUACUGUCAGAAUAAGCAUCGGCUAACUUCGUGCCAGCAGCCGCGGUAAUACGAAGGAUGCAAGCGUUAUUCGGAAUUAUUGGGUUUAAAGGGUGCGUAGGCGGACUAAUAAGUCAGUGGUGAAAGCCUGCAGCUUAACUGCAGAAUUGCCAUUGAUACUGUUAGUCUUGAGUACAGUUGAGGUAGGCGGAAUGUGUCAUGUAGCGGUGAAAUGCUUAGAUAUGACACAGAACACCGAUUGCGAAGGCAGCUUGCUAAGCUGUAACUGACGCUGAGGCACGAAAGCGUGGGGAGCAAACA